AAAAUGUGAUAAGUAAUGUGAAUUGCAGAAUUCAGUGAAUCAUCGAAUCUUUGAACGCACAUUGCGCCCGCCAGUAUUCUGGCGGGCAUGCCUGUUCGAGCGUCAUUUCAACCCUCAAGCCCCCCGGGUUUGGUGUUGGGGAUCGGGCUGCGUUUCUGCCGCGUCCCGGCCCCGAAAUCUAGUGGCGGUCUCGCUGCAGCCUCCAUUGCGUAGUAGCUAACACCUCGCAACUGGAACGCGGCGCGGCCAAGCCGUUAAACUCCCCAACUUCUGAAUGUUGACCUCGGAUCAGGUAGGAAUACCCGCUGAACUUAAGC
rnacentral:misc_RNA from 1 species